rnacentral:rRNA from 1 species
CGCAUCUGUGCAUGCAGCAUAUCAAUAAGCGGAGGAAAAGAAACUAACAAGGAUUCCCCUAGUAACGGCGAGUGAAGCGGGAAGAGCUCAAAUUUGAAAUCUUAAAGGGUUUCCCUUUACGAAUUGUAGUUUAAAGAAGUGUUUUCUGUUGAGGUUUUGGUAAAAGUUCUUUGGAAUAGGACAUCAUAGAGGGUGAGAAUCCCGUAUUUGACCUUUACUUUCAACUUUGUGAUACACUUUCAAAGAGUCGGAUUGUUUGGGAAUGCAGUCCAAAAUGGGUGGUAAAUUUCAUCUAAAGCUAAAUAUUGGCGAGAGACCGAUAGCGAACAAGUACCGUGAGGGAAAGAUGAAAAGAACUUUGAAAAGAGAGUUAAACAGUACGUGAAAUUGUCAAAAGGGAAGCGUUUGACACCAGUGUUGUUUUUCUGAAAAUCAAUUAAAGAACUGUUUAUGCUAAGCUGUUUAGACUUUAUCAGCUAUCUGUUUAGUUUUGAGCUUUUCUUUAAUGCACUUUUCAGUUAACAAGUCAACAUCAAUUUCUUUUGCUGUAAGAAAGCUUGAGGAAGGUGGCUUGAGAUUCGUCUUAAGUGUUUAUAGCCUCUUGCCUAUGCAGUCGGAGAGAUUGAGGUCUGCAGCGUAGAUCCUUCGGGGCUAAAUGCAUUUGUGCUAAGUUAUAGCAUUUUAUAGACAACUUGUUGACUAUGAUUUGUCUUGUAGCUUACUCGCUUAUGUUAUUUUACCUACGCUUAGGAUGUUGAAUCUGUGCGAGACUAC